rnacentral:misc_RNA from 1 species
UAAUAAGUGUUUUAUGGCACUUUUUAAAUCCAUAUCCACCUUGUGUGCAAUGUCAGUCGAUCUUCUUCAUGGAGAUUGACCAAACAUCAACCUUUAUCUUUUAACAUCUUUGUCUGAAUAAUAUUAUGAAUAAACAAUUCAAAAUA